ensembl:snRNA U6 U6 spliceosomal RNA
CUGCUCGCUUCAGCAGCACAUAUACGAAAAUUGGAAUGACAGAAGAUUAGCAUGGCCCCUGUGCAAGGAUGACAUGCAAAUUCGUGAAGCAUUCCAUAUUUUU